AGUGAACGCUGGCGGUAGGCCUAACACAUGCAAGUCGAACGGCAGCACAGUAAGAGCUUGCUCUUACGGGUGGCGAGUGGCGGAUGGGUGAGGAAUACAUCGGAAUCUACUUUUUCGCGGGGGAUAACGUAGGGAAACUUACGCUAAUACCGCAUACGACCUACGGGUGAAAGCAGGGGAUCUUCGGACCUUGCGCGAUUGAAUGAGCCGAUGUCGGAUUAGCUAGUUGGCGGGGUAAAGGCCCACCAAGGCGACGAUCCGUAGCUGGUCUGAGAGGAGGAUCAGCCACACUGGAACUGAGACACGGUCCAGACUCCUACGGGAGGCAGCGGUGGGGAAUAUUGGACAAGGGGCGCAAGCCUGAUCCAGCCAUACCGCGUGGGUGAAGAAGGCCUUCGGGUUGUAAAGCCCUUUUGUUGGGAAAGAAGAGCAGCAGGUUAAUACCCCGCUGUUCGGACGGUACCCAAAGAAUAAGCACCGGCUAACUUCGU
rnacentral:rRNA from 1 species